CCAUAAAUCAUUUCUAGUUCUCCCUUUUAACUAAAUAUAAAUAAAUAAAUUUGAUCACCUUUUGUUAAUUUGCAGCUGCUGCUAUGUAUCAAGUGGAGGAGACAACUAAACCAGUAGUGCCUCCACCGCCAAUAACUCAAGAACAAGAACCACCGCUUGCCUCUGUUGCCACGGCUACACCCAAACGACGUCGUUAAACCAACACUUGAUGAUACUACUACUACUACACCUACAGCUCUCACACCCCAAAGAUUAUUCACUGUUUUUCUGGUUAAAUCUGGGUUGUUUUGCUGCUGAACUACUGCUGAAUCUUACCCUCUUUUACUCUCAUUUCCAGGUACAUUUUGAAUCUUGUCUAAUGUGAGGUUCAAUUUGAGAAUGAAAAUACAGAAUAGAGUUGAAAGUAUAGCAAUACUUCCCUUUAUGACUCAGUUGUGCUUCAUUAUAAUAUUUAUGUCUUUAGCAACAUGAUUCAAUAUGUAUUCUAGUUAAUGACUGUUUUGGUUAGUUGAAUUAUGUUAAUUAUAUUUGAUUUUGGGGACUGUUAAGAUGUUGUAUUAGAAUGUUUAGUCGAACUACAUCGUGGCUUAGAUUUGUUUAAAUUCUGGUUGAAA